rnacentral:lncRNA from 1 species
GCACAAAAUUGAGUGUCGUCUUAUGCUGAAGAUGUGAUGAACAAAAAAAGGAAAGAAGAAAAGAAGGGAACACAGAUAGCAAGCAGCAAGUGAAUGGAAUACUGCACAUCUACCUAGCCAGCAAGGGGCGCUCUCAGGAGCCUAUACCAGGACCCCUGAGUCCCAGCCUGCAGUGUCACAUACUGCCCCACUCCGCUGCCAACGUUACUGCUGCAGUAAUCCUUUACCCUCUUCCUCCUGUCUCUGUUAUCCACUCACCUUACUUCUCUUCAUUCAAGUUCAUAAGCCUGCAUUUUGGGACCCUGGCAGUAAGCACCUGCAAGCACUAAUGAAGGCAACAAUUCAUAACCAAGAUUGUCCUUCAGAAUCGUCUAAAGGAUUUCAGUACACACGUGGACCAGAAGUCCAAGCCAGAGCUCCCAGAGAAGAAUUUUCAAGCACCCCCCUCCCACAAAAGUGGUGAGAGUAUCAUAGAAUAAAUCAUCACCAGGUAAGCUAGCUUGAGACA